CAAAAGUUCCAAUAAGGAUGGAUUCUUUGAGACAACUUUUUCUAGCAGGCAGUGAUAUCAGAGAAUUGGAUGAAUCAAUUGGAAAUCUCAUUGGGCUUGAAAAGUUGUUCCUCAGUCCUUGCAAAAAUCUUACAACUACCGUGCAGCAUUUAUUGGUUGCAAAAUUUAGAGAAGCUUUAUCUUUAUAACUGCUCAAAACUUGUUAGAUUUCCUACAAAUACCAACAUUUUGAAUGUCUAUGGUUGCUCAUUAUCACUUCCCAAGCUACGUUCGUUAAGUAUCAGAGGAUGUGGUUUAUCAGAUUGUGAUUUCCUCAUGACCCUUGAUUGCUGGGAAACAUUAUACUUCCUUGAUCUGUCAUUUAACAAUUUUGUUAGUCUUCCUGCUUGCAUCACCAAAUGUGUCAACUUGCGAUGGUUUUACUUGGAGGGUUGCAAGAGACUCCUAGAAGUUCCAAAGCUUCCACCAAAACUUGGAAGAUUGUGAAUCACGACAAAAAUUCUGGAAAUUGUAAAAUCAUGGAGCUGUGAUAGAGGCGGCGUCGCCGUCAAUUGGAGAUCAUCAUCCAAAUUCUGGAAACUGUCAAAUCUUGGAGCUGUGACACGAGGAGCCAACUGCUAUUUAUAUGCAGUGUGUGUCCCACUUGCUAUUUAUUUACACUUGAAGCUUCAGUGUGCCAGAGCUAAUCAGCAUUUUUCAGGUUUGGUGACCAUAUGUGGUGGUUGAUGAGAGUCUUCUAAUUCAUUAGAAAGUGGCAUGAGUCUCUUUAGAGGUUGCUGCAGGAUCAGGCUCUCUGCAGAAAGCAUUUCUACUCAUCAAAACUGAUCAUUGACCAAUUCCCUGAAGAAAUCCUACCCGUGUCUGUUUCAAUUGAAUCCCAGCUGUUGUGUCACCCUGUGUAAUACUUGUGGUAGUCUGCAAUCUGCAUUAAGGGAAGCAAAGUUCACUCAGAUGUGUUGUUUUACAGUGGCUUGAAGCUACCACUUGAAAUGCUGCUGCAGUUUCAACUUCACGUUUUAAAUUGCGAGAAUCGAGAUUUUUAUUGUUGCUUCCGUUUGCAGUGGGAACUUUAAACUCUCCACUUGGAAUGGUUGCAGAUUUGGCAAAGUCGGGUAAAAGUUGAUCUGAUUGAAUUUGAGACGACUGAAAAUAAGCUAGAAGUAAAGGUAUGUGCUAUUUCCCCUGGUUAUACAUGUGCCCAUAUAUACUUUCCCGGUGCUUCUAUGCUCAAGUGCCUUUAUCUCAUUGUUUACAAGUUAUUGAAACAUAUCACGUUUACGAGGCACGAUGUUACAUUGUCCACAUGGACAUUGUGGUAAGCCAAUGGAAUGUGAAACUGUCACUCUAAGAAGAAUCUCCCUAGCACAUUUACAUGCCAGAGGCAGAACAAUUAAGUUGUUAUUUAUAGAUUAAAACUUCUAAAUUCAUAAACAAAUUUGGCCAAUGAUUUGAUUGGAUCAUACACAACAUUUUGCCAAGUGUUUUAGUCUGGUGUUGGCAAAAUUCCGCUUCAGGGUGAUGCGGCAGGCAUGUGCUUACCUUCUUGAGGAACUAAAAGUUGGUUUUCUUUGUUUCUAAUGUUGGAAUUGACGGUGUGAGUACUGCUUCUUAGAGUCAUGCAAGCAAGUUGGUGCUGUAAAUAUCAAAUGAACCCCACCAAGAUUUGUGCACUGAUGGAUUGUACCUAUUUCAAUUUUCAAAGUUGGAAGGUUACCAGCAAACAUGCAUAUGGUGAUAUGCCUUGAGAGUGGUGAGACUCUUAUGAUGGUCUGAGCAAGAAAUGAGCUCGUCUAGUGGGGUGGUUGAUCAAGAGUUUGCAGCAGACGUAGCCAUAGGCAAGUGGCAUGACAUGGUGCUUCCCUGAUUCGAAGCUCCAAACAUCAUUGGGCCAAUAUCUAAGGCUUACUGGAGUUCCAAAAACUGAUUGAUAUGCACGUUACAUUUCCAAAAACUAAAGGAAAGAUGAAUUUCAACAAGAGGCAGUGGCGUUACAGAAUUGCAUUCGUCAAUUGGAAAUCUCGUUGGGCUUAAUGAGUUGGAUCUGGCAUAUUGUAAAAAUCUUACUACAAUACCAUGCAACAUACAUGAGUUACAAAAUCUAGAGAUCCUAGAUGUGAGUGGAUGCUAAAAUCUUGUUACAUUUCCAGAAAUUAAGGGAAAGAUGAAUUCAUUAAAAGCAUUGUAUAUCUAAGAGGCAGUGGUGGCAUUACAGAAUUGCAUCCGUCAAUU